CACAUGACCUCACGGGGGUGGGACGACCCGCUAGACUUAAGCAUAUUAAUCAGCGGAGGAAAAGAAACUAACAAGGAUUCCCCUAGUAACUGCGAGUGAAGAGGGAUUAGCUCAAUGUGUGAAUCGGGCCAGGAUUAGCACUUGGCUCGAGUUGUGCACUAUAGACGGCGGAUCAGCGCUUGAAAGAUCGAGUCGGAUGUCCGAUGAAACUCGGUGCCAUUGAGGGUCAUAGUCCUGUACUUGGCUCGUCAUCUUUUGCGCAUUUGACCGACGUUCUGCGAGUCGCGUAGUUUUGUAUUGCUGCGCUAAUCGGGAGGUAGAGCCCUUCUAAAGCUAAAUAUGAUGACGUGACCGAUAGCACACAAGUACCGCGAGGGAAAGGUGAAAAGCAACCAUGCAGAAUGGGUUGAAACAGAAGUGAAAGCGCUACUGGGAUAAGGGCUGGGGAUUGCUUGUGUCGCUUGCGCGUGCUUCAGUGCUGUGCUUGUGAACGGCAUGCUUCAAUUGGGAUGGGGAGAACAGGGCCUUGGGAAUUCGGCUGGAUCCGUCCAGUGUUGUAGCCCAGGUGCCAAUGGAGCCCCUUCGGAUUGUUGAGUGUCUUGCGAUUGUCAGCCGCCCGUCUUGAAACACGGACCAAGGAGUGCACCUUGCAUGCGAGUCGAAGGGACUGGAAUCCUGGAGGCGCAGCGAAAGCGAAGGCCACGAAUCCUCACGGUGUCGGUGGCACCCGCCUUGUGCGAGGUAGAGCAUGUAGGGUGCGACCCGAAAGAUGGUGAACUAUGCCCGGGUAAGGUGAAGCCAGUGGAAACGCUGGUGGAGGCCUGUAGCGGUUCUGACGUGCAGGUCGAUCGUGUAACCUGGGUAUAGGGGCGAAAGACCUAU
rnacentral:rRNA from 1 species